rnacentral:lncRNA from 1 species
GUUUGAUCCCUGGGUUGGGAAGAUCCCCUGGAGGAGGCUAUGGCAACCCCCUCCAGUAUUCUUUCCUGGAGAAUCCCCAUGGACAGAGGAGCCUGGUGGACUACAGUCCAUAGGGUUGCACAGAGUCAAACACAACUGAAGCAACUCAGCAUGUCUGCAAUGGUUCAAAGACUCCUCUUUGGGCUGGCCAAAACUUUGUUAGAACUGAGAUAUAGUCUUGAAUCUCUUCUUACCCAGUCCUGCUGAAUCUUUUCUCCUCUCCUUUCACAGUUAUCAGACCUGCAUUGCAGUCUGAGGCUUUCCUUACCUACACCUACUUUUUCUCCCUUUAUUUUUCACAGGAGUUUCCCCCAGUAAAUCUCAAGCAUGUCUAAUACUGUGUUCACCUCUGCCUCUUAGGGGAUGUUAUUUAACAUAAUAUGGAAAAUUAAGAACUUCAUUAGCUACUAUCACUGAAAUUUUUGGAAAUAAAUUAACUGCCCUCCUAGAUAUUUUGGUUUUACUGUAAGAAAAAAAGAAUUAAGCUCAUUGAAUACAUUAUUUUGAAGAGGAUAGCAACUGUAUUUCAUUUCUUACUAAUGCCAGUGUUGGAUAUUUUCCUCCAAAUCUACUCUCUCCCUCUGUGUUUCCAAAGGACAGCCUCAUUCACUGGGCUCACAUCAACAGGCUUUCUUGCUCUCUAGCUUCUGGCUGGGUUUCACCAUAAGAAAUGCAUGUGAAUAUGGGAGAAUGGGAAGAUUGUGUGGUUGUGUUUUUAUUUUCCAGGCUCCCUCCAUGUCAAGCCACAGGCUGGCAUUAGUAUGCUCUUCUACCAAAGGCAACAGCUCUAUCAAGAUGCUGAAGGUGGUGACAGAGUCUCAAAUACUUCAUCACACCCUGUUGCUUCCUAACUUGCCCACAUGUUGCGGUGAGACAACAGAGACGUUGAACAAGCUAUCCAAGUUAAAUAACCUGCACGGAGUUGAGCCAAGAGAGCUGAUAAAUAGAAGAGAACACAGAUGA